UCCUAAAGAUCCACUUACUGUCUUUGUCCACUCCUCCCCCUGCUCACCACAGCCAUGGCUGAGGCUGCCAGCCUCACUUCAGGCUUCCAAUUCUUCCUUGACUCUGUUUCCUCGAGAGUGUGGAGUAAUCCUUCCAAAAUGCAAAUUGGACCCUGUCACGUGCCUGCCUCAAGCAGGGAGUCCCUAAGUGGCUCUGCGGGAACAAAGGCCAAAGGAAGCUCACAAAGAGCCCCCUUGCCUGCACCGCUCGUUUCCCCUGCCACUCCUCACCCUUGAGCUAUGAGAAGUGGUACAGGACUCUCUCCAAUGGCACAUGCAAACCUGAGUUCAUCUGUAGGGGAAGAUGCUUUCAAGAUAACUCGGGGAAAGGAAGAGCCAUCACAUGGACAGUGCCAGGCAGCUCAAGUCAGGAAGGAGCUCCAGCUCAGACGGUGAGCAGAUGCCGGAUGCCAUCGAUGCCCAGGGACAGACUGGAACGCGUCUCUGCCUCUGUCCAAGCCAUCUCUAACCACAGGAGAAGGCUGUGCCUCCCCCACACUGACCCAGCUAUCAGGCUGAGAGUCCUUUGUGGAAUAUGCACUGUCGCUCCCUAUGGAGAACAAAAGGCUAUCUCGAGCUGGAAACGAUCAGCAGAGGUGAAAUGUGGCCGACGUGUGACUGGACUUCAAGAAGAAAGGCUGGGACUGAGGAUCGGCUGUAACUUUGUCCCUGGGCUCCCCAGCUGGUUCUUUCACAGUAGAGUCCCCAGUUAAUUCAAGACUGCCCCCCACCCCCGCCCC